UAGGGAAUCUUCCGCAAUGGGCGAAAGCCUGACGGAGCAAUGCCGCGUGAGUGAAGAAGGCCUUCGGGUCGUAAAACUCUGUUAUAAGAGAAGAACAAAUUGUAGAGUAACUGCUACAGUCUUGACGGUAUCUUAUCAGAAAGCCACGGCUAACUACGUGCCAGCAGCCGCGGUAAUACGUAGGUGGCAAGCGUUGUCCGGAUUUAUUGGGCGUAAAGGGAGCGCAGGUGGUUUCUUAAGUCUGAUGUGAAAGCCCACGGCUUAACCGUGGAGGGUCAUUGGAAACUGGGAAACUUGAGUACAGAAGAGGAAUGUGGAACUCCAUGUGUAGCGGUGGAAUGCGUAGAUAUAUGGAAGAACAACAGUGGCGAAGGCGACAUUCUGGUCUGUUACUGACGCUGAGGCUCGAAAGCGUGGGGAGCAAACAGG
rnacentral:rRNA from 1 species